GAGAGCCCUAUGAUGGGAAACUACCAUGUUAGGUUUGGAGAGAGAGGGAUGGGUUCUAUAAUAGGGGGAGAAGAUGCAAACUUUUUAUUUCAAUAACAAAUGACUACAGGAUCAUCAAUCUACUCCAC
rfam:Picea glauca, whole genome shotgun sequence.